rnacentral:rRNA from 1 species
CUUUACUAUAACUUUACAUUGAGUUUAGAGAUUAGAUAUGUAGCAUAGAUGGGAGACUUUGAUGUGUGGAUGCCAGUUCACGCGGAGUCGUCAGUGAAAUACCAUUUUUCUAAUUUUUAAAUUCUAAUCAUACGUUAUUAAUGUUGCGGUGAGACAGUGUAUGGUGGGUAGUUUGACUGGGGCGGUCGCCUCCUAAAGAGUAACGGAGGCGUACGAAGGUAGGCUCAGCUGGGUUGGAAAUCCAGCUUUUGAGUGUAAUGGCAAAAGCCUGCUUGACUGUAAGACUGACAAGUCGAACAGGGACGAAAGUCGGUCAUAGUGACCCGGUGGUUUCUGUGAGGAAAGGCCAUCGAUCAACGGAUAAAAGGUA